GCCAUCAUUGAGUGGCGACUCUAAGAGACUGCCGGUGUCAAACCGGAGGAAGGUGGGGAGUGACGUCAAGUCCUCAUGGCCUUUAUGACCAGGGCUACACACGUACUACAAUGGCCGGUACAAAGGGCAGCGACACAGCGAUGUGAAGCGAAUCCCGAAAAGCCGGUCUCAGUCCGGAUUGGAGUCUGCAACUCGACUCCAUGAAGUUGGAAUCGCUAGUAAUCGCGGAUCAGCACGCCGCGGUGAAUACGUUCCCGGGCCUU
rnacentral:rRNA from 1 species